UACGUAGGGUGCGAGCGUUGCCCGGAUUUAUUGGGCGUAAAGAGCUCGUAGGUGGUUUGUCGCGUUGUUCGUGAAAACUCACAGCUUAACUGUGGGCGUGCGGGCGAUACGGGCAGACUUGAGUACUGCAGGGGGAGACUGGAAUUCCUGGUGUAGCGGUGGAAUGCGCAGAUAUCAGGAGGAACACCGGUGGCGAAGGCGGGUCUCUGGGCAGUAACUGACGCUGAGGAGCGAAAGCGUGGGGAGCGAACAGG
rnacentral:rRNA from 1 species